rnacentral:lncRNA from 1 species
UGUGUGUGUGUGUGUGUGUUUCUUCUUUUUACCAGCAGGUCUACUUGAUGGAAAGAAAGGCUUUGCUGGUUGCUUGGAUCUUAAAGGCACCCUGGAUCUCUAUGAGCACAGCCUCGUCGGUGCCCAAGCCCUUCAUGGCUUUCUGCAGCUGCCGUGCGGCGUACUCAUUGGGACGGUCCAGAAGGGCUAAGGCUGUCUUCUCGAAGUUUCCACUCAGCUCACCCUUGAGCACGUCCUCUAAGUCCUGCAGGAAGCACAGAACGGUUGACUGCAAAUGUCAUGGGAAGAGAAGGUGAGCGUCUGCCUACAUUGCAAUGCCAGUUCCAGGGACAGGAAGCCUGCUCUAGACAGUCACAGGAAUGAUCCAGGCAAGAGCCACUUGACCUUGAGGACAGCGGUCACCACAAUCGCCCUUUCAUCUUUCUCCUACCCCAAAGUCUGGCUGAGAGGCACCUUGCUCGGGACUGGCACCGCCCGGCAGACGACUUACAACAGCGAGAACAUCUGUGGACCAUUUUAGAGUUCUGAGAACAUCUCUCAGCUGAAAUUCCACACAGCCCUGCGGAGCUGCCAGACGAAUCGCACUGUCUCCACCUAAUAAACCUCAGGAAAUGACGGCUUUGCCCCAAACAUUUAGCUAGAAGACGCAACAAUUUCUGCUAGUGGUCAGUGUUUUUAUAUGGGAAGAUAGCAAGGCUUAGGGGUGUGGGGGAACGAGAAUCCACAAAAUAAAACAACAACAACAACAAAUCCAGCACAGUGUCCACAUUCAAUGGUCAAAAAUUACUCCUGGUAAUAUAUUAUGCAAAAACAUUAUCAUUAUAUCCUGAAAAGAAUUUCCUGAGGGAACACAAACCAGUUCUUUCUCUGAGAGACCUCUGGUUUGGGAGAAAAAGCCAGAGGGCUUUGUGCAAGGGGACCUGCUGUGUCCAAAGGGGACUGUGACAUCAUGCCUCUGUCCCUAUGUCACUUCAACCAACACUGCUUCCUCCCUCCAGACUAUACAGUAUGGGUCCCCUGAGAUACUCGAGAUCCAUUUUCUCAGGUCAGAUAAGCAUUGCUUAGGACUGCAGAGGGGUCCCAGCUCUUCUGUCUUUUGUUCCACAGGCAUGAAAGCCAAGCUGGUAUUUUAUAUGGCCCUAAGCCCAAGAAGCAGGCUCAGGAAGCCUGGACGCCAAGGUUCGUUGGUGUCACUGUGCUCAGGGUUCAGUGGGUAUGAGAUCUUGAGGUUGAGUGUUUGACCUCCUCCAGAGUUUUUAACAUCUUCUUGGUGGUCUCGGCCCUCAGGAGAUCGGCAAGUUCCCCAAGGCUCAGGGAACAUUGCAGAAGAAGGGAAAGAGAGUUGUAAGAGCCAGAGCAACCAGGAGCUUCCUGCGAGAUUGCGUCUCCUAGGAACACAGAGGCAGACACUCAUAGAGUCUUACCAACAUGACUGUCCAAACAUGAGCUGGACAAGGACAAGAGCAAUAAAUGUGCCCAAGUGGACGGAGGUGGGGGAGGGGGCACCACACGCCCUUAGCUCUACAAGCAACUGACGAAAACUGGCAGAGGGGGAAUACUCCUCCCCGGGGAAGAGUAUAGCAGCUGGUUAUAGUCAGCCCUGAAGACAGACACACAAGUAACAUUAUACAGACUGAGCAGGCUGCAAUAUUAUUUAGGAAUACAUGUAUAUAUGUGUGUGUGUGUCUAUAUAUGUACCGACAAUGAAAAAAGAGGCCAUGAAUUUGAAAAGGAACAAUGGGGGCUUUAGGGGAGACUUUGGAGGGAAGAAAGGGAAGGGGAAAUGAUGUAAUUAUAUCAUCUCAAAAAUAAAAGAAAUAAUUUUAAAGUUUUCUGAACCAAUAGUCUAUGAAGAAACACUAAUCUCAAGGACAGCCGAAUGCAAGAAUAUUUCAAUAUUAAGCUGCACUUAUGGAAAAUGGUUUCCAAAUCACUGUCCCGUCUAUAAAAUAUUAUGCAAAAUUAGUCCAAAUUGAAUGAAAACUUAGUAAAUGUAAUAGAAAAAUGAAGCCAAUUAAAGAACAAUGAGUUAAGUUAAUAUUGAUUUAUAAGUAUGAG